rnacentral:snoRNA from 1 species
UGGACCAAUGACUGUAAUAUCAUGAACCAUGGAUUAUGUUUAAUCCAAUUCUGUAUACCUGAAGUCUAAG